CAAGUUAAUUUUUUUAUGAGGUUGAUUUUGGAGAUACUUUUAGCAAUAGGUUAACUGUCUGUCUGAAAGGGAUUAUCUCACCUUGACCUCAUGUACAUUGGUCAUUUAAUGUUAUAUUUAAUUUAAUGUUAUGUUUGUGGUAUAAACUUUUUUUAUAUACUUUCAACAUAAAUAAUACUUCUUUUUAAAUUUUCAACAUAAAUUAUAUUAUGAACACUAGAACAGGCAAG
rnacentral:lncRNA from 1 species